rnacentral:rRNA from 1 species
CCCAUUGAUUAAUAAUAUUAAAAGGCUGCGGUAUUUUAACUGUACGAAGGUAGCAUAAUCACUUGUCUUUUAAUUGAAGGCUUGUAUGAAUGGUUUGAUGAAAUAUAAACUUUCUUUUAAUUAUUUUUUUGAAUUUAAUAUUCUAGUUAAAAAGCUAAAAUAUUUUUAUAGGACGAGAAGACCCUAUAGAAGUUUACUAAUUUUAUAAAAUUAUAUAUUUUGAUUUUAAAUUAUUUUUUUAAAAGAAUGAGUUUUAUUGGGGUGAUAUUAAAAUUAAAUUAACUUUUAAUUAAUUUUUUCAUUAAUUUAUGUUUUUUUGAUCCAAAAUUUUUGAUUAAAAGAUUAACUUACCUUAGGGAUAACAGCGUAAUUUAUUUGGAGAGUUCUUAUCGAUGAAUAAGUUUGCGAC